rnacentral:rRNA from 1 species
GACGAACGCUGGCGGCGUGCUUAACACAUGCAAGUCGAACGGUAAGGCCCUUUCGGGGGUACACGAGUGGCGGACGGGUGAGUAACACGUGGGUGAUCUGCCCUGCACUUUGGGAUAAGCCUGGGAAACUGGGUCUAAUACCGGAUAGGACUACGCGAUGCAUGUCGUGUGGUGGAAAGCUUUUGCGGUGUGGGAUGGGCCCGCGGCCUAUCAGCUUGUUGGUGGGGUGAUGGCCUACCAAGGCGACGACGGGUAGCCGGCCUGAGAGGGUGUCCGGCCACACUGGGACUGAGAUACGGCCCAGACUCCUACGGGAGGCAGCAGUGGGGAAUAUUGCACAAUGGGCGCAAGCCUGAUGCAGCGACGCUGCGUGGGGGAUGACGGCCUUCGGGUUGUAAACCCCUUUCAGCACAGACGAAGCGUAAGUGACGGUAUGUGCAGAAGAAGCACCGGCCAACUACGUG